CUGUUCAUAAGCUGCCCCAGCUGCACUCUCACGGUGGGGAUGUCACUGGAGGCUCGUUGAAUCACAGCCUUGUCCUCCUUGGGGGCCGGCUACUGGCUCCUUUUAUGUAUCGUCGGGGAUGCAAAUGCUGGUGGGGCGGACGGGUGCGCAGGGGGAAGGCAUGUUUUGCUGCCUGAAUUUUGGGAAAUCACACAGCAAAGAUGCAUCCGAGCCUGGCAUUGUCGCUCUGCCAAGGCACCCCUUGACGGACGUGUUCCGAUCAGAGCUGUCUGCCCCACGGGAAAAGAAUCAGCUUUCUAUCAAGUGGACUCUGGGCAUCGCCCCAGAGAGCUGCAGCUCCAAAGGACCCGGAGAGACCCGCAGACGACCGAGAGGGGCUGACGUGGAGUGUCCCCCGCCUGGAUGGCAUCCCUGGAAAAGGCUGGAGUGUUUCUACAGAGGCUGUUCAGACAUCACAUCACAGUCCCAGACGGCCGAGAGGUUCUUGCACUCACUUGGCUGCCCUCCCUGGGAAAUGCUUUGGAUCAGACAGCACUUCUGGGUUGUUUUUGCCUGAGGAAAGUGGCUCACAGCAUCACCCUCACCCUUGCUCUGAGAAGCCGUCAUGAAAUCAAUGCAGCUUUGGAAAGGAAGGAACGUGGCAAAUCCCUAAUCACACCUCACCUUUAAAUACGGUCUUUGACCAUAUUAGGACCAGAAUUUCAUAUAUGCUCCCUAAUUUAUUCUUUUCCUUCACAACUGAACACACAGGCCACUGGCUUGAAUCCAGGGCGCGUUUGAUCGAGGCUACAUAUUCCCCCACUUUCGGCACGCCUAAUGAUUUCCAUCUUUGUCUCAAUUGUGUUUAUGAGACCUGCCCUUAUCGCCAGCAUCGGCGCUUCAUUUUUCCAUUUUCCACUCAUUCUUAUAAAAUAACAAGGUCAAAAUGCAAUACAAUAUUCAAAUACUUGUGCAAACACUGCUGAACAGCUAAAAGGGGAUGCUGCUGAGACCAAACUCUGGGCCACCAGGCAGCAUUUCCAUGCGAUCGCUUCAAAUGUCAGCUCACCUGCCAACCUGGGAGAGCUCAAAACCCGCGGGUGGAGCCAGGGGUCGGGGUGGUGGUGGUGGCGUAGACCAACGUAGAGCGUAUAAAAAAGCGUGCACCAAAGUGAAAGGUACAAGGUGAAGGUCCCCCUCUGAAGCUCGGCGGGGUAUAAAUCCUGCCACCUCCAGCCAAGAGGCCCAGGCGCUACCAUGCAAAGGGGCUGUUGGUGACGGCUUUUCUCCAGGCGGGUUGUGUUGUCUCACAGACCUGCGCCAGUAUACCUUCCAACGUCUCUGAGUCUGCAGGUGUGUGCGUGAAGGGAAGGGGGUUUAGGGACCACCAUCCUGUUUUCCUAAUCUGCACACUCAUCACAGAGGGAAGUCAAUUCUGGGUAACACUUUCGCAAACAACUCGGCUGCAGGCCGAUCUGCAGGCAGGGGGCCUGGGGGCUGUUAUCAUCUCCAGAGAUAGGGGGCUUACCGGCCGACAGAGUGGUGAAAGGACACUUAGUGUUGCUUGAAGACAUUCCUAAGAAGACAGAGGAGCGCCUGGAAACAGACACCCAGGAUUUCGCUGCCGCUUAGCAACCCUGGCAGCCGGACGUGACUCGUGUCUCUAAGCUUGCGGCUCGUGUAGCCCCAGCACACUCAGCAGUUCUGAGGGAUAUACGGAGAAGAGAUUCAUCGUCUCUCCUCAGCUGUGGAAAUACCAAGAACCUUUCCUCAAAGUUUCUCGCUCUUGGAUCAGAAUCCUUUAUGUGGGAAGGAUUUGUGAGGAAGCGGUAGGUGAAAACUUUGUCUUUAUUCCAUGCCCAACAAGCUCUGUUAGAAGGGAAAGACUCCAGUCGUGGGCACAAGAGACCUGGCCUCCAGGCCCACCUCAGCCCUGCCUUCCUGAGUGGUUCUGGACAGGUUCCUUCACCUGCAAAACAAGAAGGGGGGGGUCUAUAUGAGCUCUCAGCUGGAAUACUCACAGUAUUGGUGAAUUGAGACAACACGUGAAAUGUGAAUCAAAGCAGGAGUUAAAAAAAUACACUUCAGGAAAUAUUUAUGGUCUUCACAGCUAGAAACGUGACCAAAGCAACGUAAGUCAACCCUGAGAUUUAUAACAAACCAUGAGGUCAGAUCUGGGGGCUCCCAGUCAGGCCUAGAACAACCACAACAAGACUGCAAAAUCCUUUGCUUCUGAAUCAAAUCCUCCCAAGCCAUUUCCUCCUCUUUCAAGUGCCCUGGAUGGAAGGGUCGCUCACCACCACCCUUCAAGAUUCUGAGGGGGAUGGGGGCUUUGGUCACAAGUUCAAAUAAGAAAACCUCCUUUUGAUUAAGCUGAAGUCCAAGCACACUUUAUAGAGUGGCUAAGGCCCACGUUCUGUGUUUUGCUUGAAGUUUCCAAGACCUCGUCUGAAAGGCAGUGUCCCUUUACCCUUAAACAAGAAAAUGGGAAAGGGGGUGGGGGGGGGGGUGUUGUGAUUUUUACUUUGCAAACCUUCCCAGUGCAGGAACUCCUGUUCUGCAAGUGCAGGUAAACAACACCUGAGCUGGGAAGG